rnacentral:rRNA from 1 species
GACGAACGCUGGCGGCGUGCUUAACACAUGCAAGUCGAACGGAAAGGCCUGCUUUCCCUUGUGGAUUGCGGGUACUCGAGUGGCGAACGGGUGAGUAACACGUGAGUGAUCUGCCCCCAACUUGGGUAUAAGCCUGGGAAACUGGGUCUAAUUCCCGAUAGGACUGCAGGGUGGUGCCUGUGGUGGAAAACGAUUUUCUAGUGGUUGGGGAUGAGCUCGCGGCCUAUCAGCUUGUUGGUGGGGUAAUGGCCUACCAAGGCGGCGACGGGUAGCCGGCCUGGGAGGGUCGACGGCCACAUUGGGACUGAGAUACGGCCCAGACUCCUACGGGAGGCAGCAGUGGGGAGUAUUGCACAAUGGGCGGAAGCCUGAUGCAGCGACGCCGCGUGGGGGAUGACGGCCUUCGGGUUGUAAACUCCUUUCGACCGCGAGGAAGCCACCUGGUUGGAAGGGUGGUGACGGUAGUGGUAGAAGAAGCACCGGCUAACUACGUG